rnacentral:rRNA from 1 species
AUUGAACGCUGGCGGCAGGCCUAACACAUGCAAGUCGAGCGAGCGGCGGACGGGUGAGUAAUGUCUGGGAAACUGCCCGAUGGAGGGGGAUAACUACUGGAAACGGUAGCUAAUAACGCAUACUAUCAGAUGUGCCCAGAUGGGAUUAGCUGGUAGGUGGGGUAACGGCUCACCUUGGCGACGAUCCCUAGCUGGUCUGAGAGGAUGACCAGCCACACUGGAACUGAGACACGGUCCAGACUCCUACGAGAGGCAGCAGUGGGGAAUGUUGCACAAUGGGCGCAAGCCGGAUGCAGCCAUGCCGCGUGUGUGAAGUAGGCCUUCGGGUUGUAAAGCACUUUCAGCGGGGAGGCGUUACCCGCAGAAGAAGCACCGGCUAACUCCGUGCCAGCAGCCGCGGUAAUUC